CCUACGGGUGGCAGCAGUGAGGAAUAUUGGUCAAUGGCCGGAAGGCUGAACCAGCCAAGCCGCGUGAGGGACGACUGCCCUAUGUGUUGUAAACCUCUUUUAUAAGGGAAGAAUAACUGCUACGUGUAGCCUGAUGCAUGUACCUUAUGAAUAAGCAUCGGCUAACUCCGUGCCAGCAGCCGCGGUAAUACGGAGGAUGCGAGCGUUAUCCGGAUUUAUUGGGUUUAAAGGGUGCGUAGGCGGUUUGUUAAGUUAGUGGUUAAACGUCGGGGCUUAACCCUGAUUUGCCAUUAAUACUGUAAGACUCGAGUUGAGGUGAGGUAGGCGGAAUGAGUGGAGUAGCGGUGAAAUGCUUAGAUAUCACACAGAACUCCGAUAGCGAAGGCAGCUUACCAGACUGAGACUGACGCUGAGGCACGAAAGCGUGGGUAGCGAACAGGAUUAGAUACCCCUGUAGUC
rnacentral:rRNA from 1 species